rnacentral:rRNA from 1 species
AAAAAAAAAUAACUUCAGGAAACUGGGGAUAAUACAGGAUAGGAGCUCCUGCUGCAUGGUGGGGGUUGGAAAGUUUCGGCGGUUGGGGAUGGACUCGCGGCUUAUCAGCUUGUGUGUGGGGUAGUGGCUUACCAAGGCGUUGACGGGUCGCCGGCCUGAGAGGGUGACCGGCGACAUGAGGACUGAGAUACGGCCCAGACUCCAACGUGCCGCAGCAGUGGAGAAUAUUGCUCUAUUUUUU